rnacentral:rRNA from 1 species
UACGUAUGGGGCGAGCGUUGUCCGGAAUUAUUGGGCGUAAAGGGUGCGUAGGCGGUUUUGUAGGUGCACAUUAAAAGUCAUUGGCUCAACCAAUGGUCGGUGUGGAAACUAUAAAACUUGAGUAGAUGAGGGGCAAGUGGAAUUCCUAGUGUAGCGGUGAAAUGCGUAGAUAUUAGGAGGAAUACCAGUGGCGAAGGCGACUUUCUGGAAUAUAACUGACGCUGAGGUACGAAAGCGUGGGGAGCAAACAGG